UCCACAAGGUCUGCAAAAAUUUCCCAGGGACAGAAUGGUAGAGGGAGUGAGCUAAAGUGAAUCAGUUUAAUUUCCAUGGAAAUUUUUUGCCUUCUCAAAAGCCGCAGAACCCACCAGAGUCUUGGGCUAACAAAUGUAAGAGCUACUGCAUUUGGGACAUGUCUUCAGAGAAGAGAAACAAGUCUGGAAGUGAGAUCUUUUAAUGCCCAACCACAGUGCUACAGAAGGCACAGCUUUUGAGCCCUCGGGGAAAAGCUCACAGAGAUCAAGAGAAGUAUUUUUGGGUAUCAAAGAAAGGACAAUCUAAUAAAAGGCAACCUUAGUUGGGGCCGGUGCUGUGGCGCUGCGGGUUAAAGCCCUGGCCUGAAGCACCAGCAUCCCAUAUGGGCGCCAGUUCUAAUCCUGGCUGCUCCUCUUCCAAUCCAGCUCUCUGCUAUGGCCUGGGAUAGCAGUAGAAGAUGGCCCAAGUUCUUGGGCUCCUGCACCCAUGUAGGAGACCCAGAAAAAGCUCGGGGCUCCUGGCUUCUGAUCGGCACAGCUCCAGCUGUUGCGGCCAUCUGGGGAGUGAACCAGCAGAUGGAAGACCUCUCUGUCUCCACCUCUCUCUGUGUUUCAAAUAAAUAAAAUUAAUCUUUAAAAAAAAAAGGCAACCUUAGAAGAAGGCCAAAAUCACCUGAAAUCAGUGGUACUCCCCUCUGUAUCACUCAGGUGACUUUUCUCACAUCCUCUUUUGUAAUCUCCUCUGUCAGGUAUUUCUAAACUUCCUGGAUCUACGUAAAAUCACUGAAGGCAAAGCAAAUCUUUGUACUCCGUUGCAGCGUUCAAACUACAAGAAGAGCUGGCUUUUAAUUGACUGAACCAUCCAAGAAAAGCUUUACCCACAAUACUGUUGCUCUUGAUAUAUCUGAACCACUAACCACACACCUAAACCAACCUCAGUUUGCAGCUGUCACAUUCAAGGUAGGUUCACACAUAUUCAAGCACCUUGCUAUGUUUUCUGAACAUUCUUCUCCAAAUAUUUAGAUAUUUAAAUGUCUAAAUAUAAUUUUUAAUCAACUUCACUUAUUUUUCUUUUAUAUUACAGUGAUGGCAUUAUACUGGUCUUUUGGAAACUGCAUGCAUAGAUAUAGAAAACCUGUGGAUUUCAUUUCAGCAUAGUAAAGGAUGCCUGCUCUAAAAAAAGAGGAGGUAUUGGCUUGAAUACAAUUUGACAGCCACUGAACCAGAAUGUGUGUGAGAAAGUGACUGGAGUUGUAAAGAUAAGACAGGGCUAAGUCACUGUGGGCUUACGGAAACAGACUGAGAAGCUGUUGUUCACUGGACAACAGGCAUACAUGACGCACCAGGGAGGCAUUCACAACGAGAAGCCCUUGUGUACACCUGAUCAAAGCUAAGCCUUUAGAAGAUGGAGCAGCAGCACCAUGUAAGGAGAACUUCAAGCCAAAGAGUCAGUCUGGACAAAUCAUUAGUAAUCUUGGCCUAUUACAGCAAUUCCCAAUAUUAAGGAUAAAGUGAAAAUGAAGAUCUGGAUGCAAACACUUCACUUGAUCUAGCUUGAAAAGAAUAACUGUGUGAGAGAAACUAUAUUUUCCAGGGAAAAAUAAACUGAAAGAGAAAAGGAACAAAAAUAAGAAGAAUGGAA